GGGUCCCGGCCCCGCUGCUCGGUGCGCGGCGGCGGCGGCGGCACCGGGAACGGCGGCGGGGGCUGGGGCUGGGGCUGGGGCUGCGUCGGCCCCGCAGCUGCGGCUCGUUAGGCUCCGCUCCGCUCCACCCGGCCCCGUCUUUAAUAGCGGCGCCGUCCCGGGACGCCGCAUGUGAGAACCGGGAGGGCAGCACCGCCCCGCACCGCCCCCGCGCACCGGCACCGCACCGGCACCUCGCUCCCGGCCCCGCGGAGCUCCGGAGUAGCCGCCGCCACCCCCCCCCCGUCCCAUCCGUUCCCUUUCCCCCCCCCCUUCCCUCCCCUUACCCCGGCACCCCACCAUGAGCAACCUCAACAAGGACACCGAGCACACCAACGGCAGCGGUAACGUCGAGGAGGAGGUACGGACGCUGUUUGUCAGUGGCCUUCCUGUGGAUAUCAAGCCCAGAGAGCUCUACCUACUCUUCCGACCAUUCAAGGGUUAUGAAGGGUCACUGAUCAAGCUAACUUCAAAGCAGCCAGUUGGUUUUGUGACCUUUGACAGCCGGGCUGGUGCUGAAGCAGCAAAGAACGCCUUGAACGGCAUCCGCUUUGACCCGGAGAACCCCCAGACCUUGCGGUUAGAGUUUGCUAAAGCCAACACAAAGAUGGCCAAGAGCAAGCUGAUGGCCACACCAAACCCCACCAAUAUCCACCCUGCCUUGGGCGCACACUUCAUUGCACGGGACCCCUAUGACCUGACUGGAGCGGCUCUUAUUCCAGCGUCCCCAGAAGCGUGGGCUCCCUACCCACUGUACACCACGGAGCUAACCCCUGCCAUCCCCCAUGCCGCCUUCACGUACCCGGCGGCCGCUGCGGCGGCCGCUGCUCUUCACGCUCAGUGAACUCCAGCCAUGAUGCCAGCGCAGGCUAGCCCUGAAGCUCAGAGCUGUCCCUGGAGAUGGGACACCCUAGUGAUGCCUUAUUGCAGCUAGUGGAGUGGCUGUACUACAGCUCCAUUCCUAGAAGUGUUAAGCAUGAUGGCAGCCACGUCUGGAAAGACUGAUGCGCUGGUAUCCUCCCUCUGAAGCUACCCAGCAAGGAUGGAAGUCUCGUCAGUUUUGUUAGUUCGUUACGUCUCUCCUCGGCUUGUGUUCCUCCUCCCUGCCUCUCCACGGAGGGAUGUGCCAGGGACGAUCGCUCAGACUCCUCUCAGUUUGGUUUGUGGCCAGCGGACAAGGCGCCUGGCCCCUGUGCGCUCCCCCCCCCCACCCCGGGGCUGCCAGCAUCCCCCGUCCCCAGACUGUGAAGCUGCCGCGGCCCCCGCCACGGGCUGUGUGCUGCCUCCAUCCAUCCAUCCUUCCAUCCCUCCCUCCCUCCAUUCCCAGGACAUCCUCCCCGACUGAGCUUCGCCGUCCGGCUGUGCCGAAACCCAGCUGGGGGGGGGCUCGGUCCUGGACUUCCCCGAGCUCGCCCUGCCCCGGUAGCUCGGCUGAAGGAAAUGAAAGGCAAUGGGUUUUGCAUGUUUUCUGGCAUGAAUUAAAACACUUAACUUGUGUAUGUGUGAGUGUAAGUUUGUUUGUUCUAGCGUUUGUGUAACCGUUAGCAACAGGUCUUGGCCCAAUGGAUUGAUCCAUCAAGGUUUUCAUCUUGCUUCGGUGAAGACUUGGCUUUGAGAAAUACUAACUGUCCUUGUCUCACCCCUUCUCCCACCUCUGCCCUCCCCAUCCCAGUACAACCAGAAAAAUUUGAAAAAUGUUUCUUUUUUUUUUUUUCUUUCAAGUAUGAUGCACUGGGUUUCUGUUCUCAUCCAUUCUUCUCUGGUUUUAAAGUCAGGGUUAUUAUAUUGUUAUUUUUUUCUUCAGACUUCUAUAUAUAGAACAGCUGUAAAAUAUCUAACCUCUUUUUUUUUUCCACAUCUUUCUGAUUGGAGAGCAUCCAGUCCUGCCAAAUAAUCAGCCAUCCUUAUGGGAAUACCGAACAAAAAAAAAAAAGUACGAGUAUUUUUGUACCAUGUGUAAUAAGGAAAUAUUUAUGCAUCAUAAAGAAUUUCUUGUGUGUUUGUGUGCAAUUAAUUAUUAUUAUUAUUAAAGAGAAAUUGUAAUCCUGUAAGAUAAGUUAAUGUUUAGUUAAAAGCUUGAAAGAGAAGGGUUGUCUUCUGUAACAAUGAUUCAGUCAGGCAUAGUAAACAAGAAAUUGUGCAAUUUUUGUUUUAGCAUCUUAUUGCUUGGUAUUGAAGUGCUUUAAGUAUUAUACGACCAUGGCUGUCUCGCUUGUAUUAAAAGAUUUGAGAAUAAGUUGCUAUAUAAUUGCUGAUCCUAUGAGAAUGUGAAACUGGAUAAUAUAUGAAAUGCAACAACAAAAAAAAAUAUACCCAGAGGCUGCUGUGACUCUU